rnacentral:snRNA from 1 species
GUAUUCGUUUUGGCAGCAUAUAUACUAAAAUUGGAAGGAGAAGAUUAGCAUGGUCCCCUGCCAAAGGAUGACAUGCAAAUCCAUGAAGUGUUCCAUAUAAAA